CGCUUCUCAGGGUCACACCUGGAGAGUUUCCAAUACUCUACCAGUCUUGACUACAGUAGGGACAGUCAAGCAGAGGCAUACCCAUUCCAUUCCUAGCUUGGUCAGUGGUUAGCGAGUGGAAGGGAAUCUGCUAUAAGU